GAAAAAUGCAAGGCAAAAUGGAAAAUGUCCUCAACCGGAUUCGAACCAUGUAUGCAUUUGAAAUCCUCAACGCGCCAACAGCCAAAACGACUGUGUUUGGACACUUAAACCCUAACGCGCGCUCAUGCAUGAAUUUCAAAAUCCGCAGCAAAACCACAUGAACUCGUGGCUAAAUCCAUAGGAAACUGUAAGACCCCAAUUUUGUCGUUAAGAUCCCUCAUGGCAUUCAUAUCAUAUCAUAUCAUUGCCUCAAGGAUCA
rnacentral:lncRNA from 1 species